rnacentral:rRNA from 1 species
GAGGCAGCAGUAGGGAAUAUUGGGCAAUGGAGGCAACUCUGACCCAGCCAUGCCGCGUGCAGGAAGAAGGCCCUCUGGGUUGUAAACUGCUUUUGAACAGGGACAAAAAGGCGAUGCGUCGCAAAUUGAGUGUACUGUUAGAAUAAGCACCGGCUAACUCCGUGCCAGCAGCCGCGGUAAUACGGAGGGUGCAAGCGUUGUCCGGAUUUAUUGGGUUUAAAGGGUGCGUAGGUGGCUUAAUAAGUCAGUGGUGAAACCCCUGGGCUUAACCCAGGGAGUGCCAUUGAUACUGUUAGGCUUGGGUUACCUCUAGGCGGGCGGAAUGGAUGGUGUAGCGGUGAAAUGCAUAGAUAUCAACCAGAACGCCGACAGCGAAGGCAGCUCGCUGGGGGUAUACCGACACUGAGGCACGAUAGCGUGGGGAUCAAACAGGAUUAGAUACCCUGGUAGUCCACGCCGUAAACGAUGGCCACUCGAUGUUGGCUUUAAGGGUCAGCGUCCAAGAGAAAUCGUUAAGUGGCCCACCUGGGGA